AGUGGCGCACGGGUGAGUAACACGUACACAACCUGCCUUAUACUGGAGCAUACCCCCAGGAAACUGGGACUAAUUCUCCAUAACGUUAUGAAGCGGCAUCGCUUUAUAACUAAAACUCUGGUGGUAUAAGAUGGGUGUGCGUCUGAUUAGCUAGUUGGCGAGGUAAAGGCUCACCAAGGCAACGAUCAGUAACUGGUCUGAGAGGAUGAUCAGUCACACGGGCACUGAGACACUGCCCAGACACCUACGGGUGGCUGCAGUCGAGAAUCUUCGGCAAUGGGCGCAAGCCUGACCGAGCGACGCCGCGUGCGGGAUGAAGGCCCUCGGGUUGUAAACCGCUGUCGUAGGGGAGGAAAUUGGCGGGGGUACUCCCCCGUCAUUGACCUAUCCUAGGAGGAAGUCCGGGCUAAGUUCGUGCCAGCAGCCGCGGUAAGACGAACCGGACAAACGUUAUUCGGAAUUACUGGGCUUAAAGGGUACGUAGGCGGUCCGGUAAGUGGGGUGUGAAAUCCCUCGGCUCAACCGAGGAACUGCGCCCCAUACUGCCGGACUUGAGGGAGACAGAGGUAAGCGGAACUGAUGGUGGAGCGGUGAAAUGCGUUGAUAUCAUCAGAACACCGGUGGCGAAAGCGGCUUACUGGGUCUCUUCUGACGCUGAGUACGAAAGCUAGGGAGCGAACGGGAUAGAUACCCCGGUAGUCCUAGCUGUAACAUGAGCACUUGAUCGA
rnacentral:rRNA from 1 species